CCCUUAGAUGUUCUGGGCCGCACGCGUGCUACACUGAGUGGAUCAGCGGGUCAGGUUGCGCGAAAGCGUUUCCUAAUCUUUAAAUCCGCUCGUGAUGGGGAUUGACGGUUGCAAUUUUCUGUCAUGAACGAGGAAUACCUUGUAAGCGCGGGUCAUCAUCCCGCGCUGAAUACGUCCCUGCCCUUUGUACACACCGCCCGUCGCUACUACCGAUUGAACGUUUUAGUGAGGCAUUUGGACCGACGCAUCUCAGUUUAACCGCUGGUUUGUGUUGGAAAGACUUCCAAACUUGAGCGUUUAGAGGAAGUAAAAGUCGUAACA
rnacentral:rRNA from 1 species